UACCGCUCAUCCUGGGUUCCCCCUCUUGGCACCGUGCAUUCUGAACCUGCAAUGACGUCACUAUCACUGAGUCUACCGCUCAUCCUGGGUUCCCCCUCUUGGCACCGUGCAUUCUGAACCUGCAAUGACGUCACUAUCACUGAGUCUACCGCUCAUCCUGGGUUCCCCCUCUUGGCACCGUGCAUUCUGAGGGCUUGGACGGAUGGACAGUGAUAGGUACCCACCACAGUGCCAUCCUCCAAAGCUGCUUGAGCGCCCUGGAUUCCUCCUAUUCACCACCUGUUAUGUCUUCUCUUCUCUGACAAGCAAUGGCCCUUUAAUGAUCGUCAUAAUUUCCUCUUCCCGAGAACGUCAUAGAGCUGCAACCUUACAGUGCACCAUAUUUGCCGAGGAUCUCUUUUCACUCAUUAAUAUGCAUUUGUUUCCUUCAUGUCUCUCCACGGUUUUAUGUGAGCUCCUUUUUGUUUAAUACAGAAUCACAUGCCAUUGUCUGUAUAUACCGUCUACGGAAGUCUUCUUUACCAGGAUUUGGACACUUACAAGUAAAGCUGCUAUGCACACUCGCUUCCAGGUCAUAUCUACCAGUUCCCAGGGCAGGCCUGCUGUUAACCACGUUCAUUUAUUCACCAGCAUUUGGGCCCGGGACAGCAGACACUCUGGAACUGUCUAGGGAUAACUCAGGCAUUGUACAAGGAGAGUCUGAGAUCUACUGCUCCUUCACUUCCCUUGAGAGAAAGAGUAGGCCUCCCAGAGAUAUCAACAGAACAGAGCAAAAAAAUAUGCAAGACCUCUAUCAGCACCUUCUGGGCCACCAAGAGGCAGGAUUUCCAGCAUAGACCCAGUGUUACAUGACCUAGGACUUCUGAAGUUCUCAAAUCAUCAUUGUCUUUUCUGUUUAAAUCCCAAACUGAGAUCUACUGCAAAUCUGGCCACAUGCUGAGUGGGUUGGAAAGGCAGAAACAUGAAGUGAACAGAAAGCAGAAGAUUGUGGAGACACAGGAACAGCACUGUGUAAAAGUCCAUGCAGUGAAUAAACUGGUAACCAAGGCUAAGUCAACUUUGACCUUCUGCAGGAUCUGUGCUAGCAUUGGUAGAAGCAUAUACAUCAGAGAGAGAAAAAGAUAACUCAGGAUCACAUAAAAAAAGGAAAUCAGACAGUGACUCCCAAUGAAUGCUUUUUAUUUUUUCACUGAGAACAGCCUGCUCUGAUAAUCAUAAAGCUAAAAACUAACACCUACAAAGUGCUUAGGAGAUCGGCACUAUUUUAUGAGUUUCCUACAGACACCAUGCUCCAUACACAUAAGGUCAUUUGUUUCGAAGAGCAAACCCAUGUGAAGGAAGCACCAUGACCCUUCAGAGGACCACCUCUGUUCCUGCCGUGCAUCUUUCUCAAUGUUCCACUCAGUUUCACCAUAAACUAAAGCAAGAUCUAACUGUAAAUGUAUUCUAUAACAUUCAAAAUAGACUUCAUAGAAAGAAGGGAGAAUAUACUGUCUGACACACAAGACUCCACGUUUUAUACAGAAGCUCUCUUCCUGACACCUCCUUCUGACUUAUUGUGUAAGUUAUCCCCUGAGUUCGGAGCCCACUGAGGAAGACAAUCCAGGCACAGAGAAUGGUUUAGGGGCUAUGUGGUGUGCUAUUCCUUGCAUAUGUCACCCAGGUCAGCAAAUUGCUCACCAAUCAGUGGGUCUUUUCCUUGAGGACAAAAUUGUUGUGAGGUGGGGUGGGAAGAGGAAGUAUUUAUCAUGUCAUAUAAACUCAUCAUGCUUCAUGUAUGUGGAAUACACUGCUAUUUACUCUUCACUGUGACAUUAAAUAGGAAUUCAAUUUGUGCUGUAAAGGGGUUCGGGUAUUAAACAGUAACUGAACAGCAACUAGAGAAGCUAGUUUGCCUGACUGCCUAAAGUGGAAAGUUCAAAGUCAUGGAAAACUACACCCCCCACCAUCGCUCGCCUGCACACUAGUAGUGAUGGUUUGCUUCUAAGCCAGAUCUUUCACCUGUCCAAGUGGCUAAGUCGGAGGCUGAAGAUGGAUGGAAGG